UUUUGUUUUUCUGUGUCUAACGUUUGACCAUUCGUCUUAUUUGAAAAAUUUAUAUAAAAACUUUAAAAAAAAUAGUCAUGUAUAAAAUACUAUUUAUAUUUUAUUAUUUAGUAACAAUAAAAAUAUUAAUUAUAAAAAAUUUUUAAAUAAAACGAAUGGUCAAACGUUGGAUACGAAAAAAC
rnacentral:pre_miRNA from 1 species